UGCGUAGGCGGGGUAAUAAGUCAGUGGUGAAAGUCUGCAGCUUAACUGUAGAAUUGCCAUUGAUACUGUUAUCCUUGAGUAUAGUUGAGGUGGGCGGAAUGUGUCAUGUAGCGGUGAAAUGCUUAGAUAUGACACAGAACACCGAUUGCGUGGCAGCUCACUAAACUAUUACUGACGCUGAGGCACGAAAGCGUGGGGAGCGAACAGGAUUAGAUACCCUGGUAGUCC
rnacentral:rRNA from 1 species